CCCGAAGUAAAAACUGCGGAUCGCAGGAUGUGUCUCGGACACAGCGGGGAUGGCACUGCCAGCUGGAGAAUGAGCAGGGAGACUCUGCCAAGCUACAUCCAGCUGUGGUCUGUCCUACACGCUCCCCCUGACUAGGAUGGGGGGGUGCACCUUGUGGCUGUCAGCCCACUGCUUCCUACAGUGGAUAUGCAGUUAUGGAGAUGAUAUAGACGGAUGAAUGGAUGCGUGUACAGAUUGAUGGAUAUCCAGUGUAAUGUCAGCAUAGCCGCUAGGAGACACCUGGGUGACUGUCAUGCGACACUGAUGAAGUGUGUGGACAUCUUUGCGAUAUUGCAGGAAAUGGAGCAGAAGCAUGUGGACCUGAUCUGAGCCUGAUCAGCACCUAGCGCCAGCCCCCCUUCAGAAACGCCGGUUACAGGCUCUGGCUCUGAGAGGCUGACUGCAGCAGCUAUGUCAAAGAGCAUCUUCUUAUUGGCAAGAAGUUUGAGACAAAUGUUGAGGCAUUGACACCUGACACCUGUCUUCCCCCGAACAGCAGGGGGCAAUGAACUGGAUUUUGGACUUUGGUCAUCCGCCACAUGCUCCCCAUCUAUCUCUCUCCACUGUGGUAACAUGCGUUUUUUAACCCUCGGACACGCCUACUACACGCUGUCCUUCACUCCCUUUCCAACCCACAAACACGUACCAUGGCUAUACCCUCUUUGAAAACCGACAGUGGAAUUUUCAUGUAGUUAUAUGGACCAAACAUUCUACAUACGUCAUACGAUUCCCUGGGUUUCACCCUGGACUACACUCAGAUGGCCAGCCUCCAUACACAGGUUACAUUGUUGUGUAAAGGGAAGACCCCCCCCCCCCUCCCAUUUACUCAAACAGAUAGUAACUACCUUGUCACAUGAGCCCUAUUAGGUAUUCCAAGCUUCUCACACUGGUGCACUUUUGAUCAAUUACAUCAGGGGUCACGCCCUCAGGGACACCCCCCUCGGCACUGCUUAGCUGACCCGUGUUGCAGAAUGUCUGGCAAUCACGUCAUGGCAACAGUUCCUACUCCACUGUCCCUCCCCCACGGCCCAUGUGGCCCACCUCCUGGCACCAGGGGAACAGACCUCUUGGCCCAAUUAGAUGACAAGGCCUUUUAAUUAGACCCAAACCAUAAUGAGAUAGACCCCCCCCCCUUACAACUCCCUUCCCACCUUACCUAUCCCAGUGCUCAAGUGUUAAAGUCCAGUGUAGAAAUGACCAUAACAACACUCCUGUAGUGUAAUGGCCACUGCAGAUGGCUGGCAUGUCGACAUCAGGAGGCCGAGCAGUUUAUUAGUCUUGCUGAACCGUCUAUUCCCCCGAACUCAAUUCAUGGCGGAUCUGCAAUUCAAAAGGCCACAAGGGGCAAAGGGAACCCAAGACAUGUCCUACGGCAAUAACAAGAGCAGCAACAGCGAAGCUUUUAAUGACAGAGGCUGCAACAAGAAGCAACACUUACGGCAAAGCUGUGACUACACGUGACACCCUGACCUUUCGCCAACUGUCAAAGUGUGAGGACCAAAGAUCAAAUUGUCAAAGGUCACAUGUGGCCCCUCUUCAAUAGGAGUCCUUUAUAAUGAAACUUAAACAUCAAUAGUGCCAUAUACUAUCGACAGAAGGACUUUCGGCCUGUUCAAUCUAUUUACCGAUGUAAAUGCAUUUAAUCUGACUUGUCCUGUUUUAUUUCCUCACUGCAAAAUCCCCAUGUGAGACGUUAUUCUCCCUGAACAUAUGCCUGGGCAUUACCUGGGGUGUAUUUCUGCCAGACUGCCUUCUCGUAGUCUGCUUACAGAUUCUCCUCAGUCUGUGUCCAUCAGCGAUACCUCGCGGAUUCAGGUGGUGGCGAUGGUGGGGAUUCGCGGCUCCCCAGCAGAGGCGCAUCUGGCAGAGCUUAACACGCAAAGCCCGUCAAGCGCAACGCGAGCCUCCCGCUUGCUGAGCGUGCAGCGCGAAGCUGCAGAGCCUAACGCAUCUGUAAUGUUGUUGCAAUGUUCAGCGGGGGAAACCGGCUUCCCUUUACCAAACGGCGUCCCCAGUCCUGCGACGGGCAGCGUGUCAAGUUGAUGGAUGUGUUACGGAAGAAUAUCAAUCAGAAACUCAGAACGAGAAAUAUUCCAUCAACGAGCAGGAGAUGGAGAUGGGAGGGGAUCUGGGGGCAGGGGGUUGGAUUAGAUACAGUGUGCAGUUGUCUUUCUGAUGUUCCUUCCCACAAGCUAGCGGGAGACGUAGAGGCGUGGUGGGAGUGUAAGGGAGACGUCCAUCGAAGCGUUCUGAUCCGGACACGGGAAGGAACUGACACGACGAGACAGAGAGGGAGGACCAUCCUGCAGCAGAGGAGGACGGCGCAAGGUCACGGAGCAAUCACAACAAGGCAGUCAGAAGCAGCCCCCUCCAAAAUGGCGGAUAGAAAAUACUUCAAAAAGGGAAAUGGAUGGAUGCCAGUUUUAAUAAAAAUUAUAAUUAAUUAUAAUCUGAGGUUUCCAACUGUGCA